CCGAAUGGGGAAACCCAGUGUGUUUCGACACACUAUCAUUAACUGAAUCCAUAGGUUAAUGAGGCGAACCGGGGGAACUGAAACAUCUAAGUACCCCGAGGAAAAGAAAUCAACCGAGAUUCCCCCAGUAGCGGCGAGCGAACGGGGAGCAGCCCAGAGCCUGAAUCAGUAUGUGUGUUAGUGGAAGCGUCUGGAAAGGCGCGCGAUACAGGGUGACAGCCCCGUACACAAAAAUGCACAUGCUGUGAGCUCGAUGAGUAGGGCGGGACACGUGGUAUCCUGUCUGAAUAUGGGGGGACCAUCCUCCAAGGCUAAAUACUCCUGACUGACCGAUAGUGAACCAGUACCGUGAGGGAAAGGCGAAAAGAACCCCGGCGAGGGGAGUGAAAAAGAACCUGAAACCGUGUACGUACAAGCAGUGGGAGCACGCUUAGGCGUGUGACUGCGUACCUUUUGUAUAAUGGGUCAGCGACUUAUAUUCUGUAGCAAGGUUAACCGAAUAGGGGAGCCGAAGGGAAACCGAGUCUUAACUGGGCGUUAAGUUGCAGGGUAUAGACCCGAAACCCGGUGAUCUAGCCAUGGGCAGGUUGAAGGUUGGGUAACACUAACUGGAGGACCGAACCGACUAAUGUUGAAAAAUUAGCGGAUGACUUGUGGCUGGGGGUGAAAGGCCAAUCAAACCGGGAGAUAGCUGGUUCUCCCCGAAAGCUAUUUAGGUAGCGCCUCGUGAAUUCAUCUCCGGGGGUAGAGCACUGUUUCGGCAAGGGGGUCAUCCCGACUUACCAACCCGAUGCAAACUGCGAAUACCGGAGAAUGUUAUCACGGGAGACACACGGCGGGUGCUAACGUCCGUCGUGAAGAGGGAAACAACCCAGACCGCCAGCUAAGGUCCCAAAGUCAUGGUUAAGUGGGAAACGAUGUGGGAAGGCCCAGACAGCCAGGAUGUUGGCUUAGAAGCAGCCAUCAUUUAAAGAAAGCGUAAUAGCUCACUGGUCGAGUCGGCCUGCGCGGAAGAUGUAACGGGGCUAAACCAUGCAC
rnacentral:rRNA from 1 species